UACGUAGGGGGCGAGCGUUGUCCGGAAUCAUUGGGCGUAAAGCGCGUGUAGGCGGCCCGGUAAGUCCGCUGUGAAAGUCCAGGGCUCAACCCUGGGAUGCCGGUGGAUACUGUCGGGCUCGAGUCCGGAAGAGGAGUGUGGAAUUCCUGGUGUAGCGGUGAAAUGCGCAGAUAUCAGGAGGAACACCAAUGGCGAAGGCAGCACUCUGGGACGUGACUGACGCUGAGGCACGAAAGCGUGGGGAGCAAACAGG
rnacentral:rRNA from 1 species